UCUGUUUUGCAUCAGUUUGGCAGAAGCACUGAGGAACUGAAACGUUUGCAGCACCUUUACAUUUUAUUUUUUGAAAUUAUUUUUGCACUUCAACAGUGGAUUGGGUUUUAACCCGCUUCUAGUUAUUUGCUUCAUGUCUGCUAUUUUUAACAUUCUGUGCAGGAGAAACAUGCGAUGGUUCUUGGUCGCCACAAGAUGGCAAUGUCCUCCCUCUUCAAUCCAUGACGCUUUACGUGGCGCAGGCCAAACCGCAAAGUUCAUUGAAUGAACACAGCCCGACUCAGCCAAUUUACAGUACACUCAGGCCCCCGAGCCGGACGGAUAUUGACCUUCAGGACCCCGUCAGCCUCGUCUUCCUGCGUGGAGCUGCUCGGGGACGG